rnacentral:rRNA from 1 species
CCUACGGGUGGCAGCAGUAGGGAAUCUUCCACAAUGGGCGAAAGCCUGAUGGAGCAACGCCGCGUGGGUGAAGAAGGUCUUCGGAUCGUAAAACCCUGUUGUUAGAGAAGAACGUGCGUGAGAGUAACUGUUCACGUUUCGACGGUAUCUAACCAGAAAGCCACGGCUAACUACGUGCCAGCAGCCGCGGUAAUACGUAGGUGGCAAGCGUUAGCCGGAUGUAUUGGGCGUAAAGGGAACGCAGGCGGUCUUUUAAGUCUGAUGUGAAAGCCUUCGGCUUAACCGGAGUAGUGCAUUGGAAACUGGGAGACUGGAGUGCAGGAGAGGAGAGUGGAACUCCAUGGGUAGCGGUGAAAUGCGUAGAUAUAUGGAAGAACACCAGUGGCGAAAGCGGCUCUCUGGUCUGUAACUGACGGUGAGGUUCGAAAGCGUGGGUAGCAAACAGGAUUAGAUACCCGGGUAGUC